rnacentral:rRNA from 1 species
UACGAAGGGGGCUGGCGUUGCUCGGAAUCACUGGGCGUAAAGGGCGCGUAGGCGGCGUUUUAAGUCGGGGGUGAAAGCCUGUGGCUCAACCACAGAAUGGCCUUCGAUACUGGGACGCUUGAGUAUGGUAGAGGUUGGUGGAACUGCGAGUGUAGAGGUGAAAUUCGUAGAUAUUCGCAAGAACACCGGUGGCGAAGGCGGCCAACUGGACCAUUACUGACGCUGAGGCGCGAAAGCGUGGGGAGUAAACAGG